UAAUAUUUAAAUAUAAUUUUUAAUAAUUUAUUUUUAUUUAUUUUAAUUAAUUAAAAUAAUAUUAUAGUUAUAAAGAUAUUUGUUUAAGUAAUUUUUAUGAAAUAAUAAUAAAAUUUAUAUUUUUUUUUAUUGUAAAAGAUUUAAUAAUAUAAUUAAUUUAUUAAAUAUAUAAAAAGAUUAAUUUAUUUUUUUUACCUUUAGUAUCAGGGUUAAUUAAAAAUUUUUAUUAAUAUAAAUAUUUCGAAAAUAAUUGAGUUAAAAUUUUAUAUUAUAUAAUAUUUUAUUAUUAUUAAUAAUUAAAUUUUAGAAAUUAUAUGUUACUCGUAAUUAUAUAUAUCUAAUUUUUUAAUAAAUGAAUUUAAUUCAUUAACUAUUAAAUUUUUAAUAUUAUUAAUUUAAUUUUUAUAUAAAAUAAUAGUUAAAAAAUUUUAUGGGAUAAACUUUAAAAUUAAUAUUAUAAAAUUAUUUUUAUUUAAUAAUUUAAAAUAUAAAUUAAAAUUUUAAUUUUUAGAAAAUUUAUAAUUAUUUAAAUAUUCAUAAUUUUAAAUAAAUUUAAUAAUUUAUGAAUAUUAAUUUUUAAUAUAAAUUUAUUAAAAUAUAAUAUGGAAUUUUAUAUUAUUAAAAAUAAUGAUUAAAUUAGUAAAUUUAAAAUAUUAAAUUAUUAAUAAUAGGGUAUAUAUUAAAUUAAUGAAUUAGGCAAAAAUUAAUAUUUACCUGUUUAUUAAAAACAUGUCUUUUUAAUUUAUUAAUAAAAAGUCUAAUCUAUUCAAUGAAUAAUUUUAAAUAAUUGCAGUAUAAUUAACUGUACAAAGGUAGCAUAAUAGUUUGUCUUUUAAUUAAAGGCUUGAAUGAAAGAUUUGAUAAAAUAUUAACUUUAUAGAUUUAAUUAAAAAAUAAAAUUUAUUAUUAAGUAAAAAAUCUUAAAUUUAAUUAUUAGACGAUAAGACCCUAUAGAACUUUAUAAAAUUAUUUAAUAAUUUUAUAAAUUUAUUUUAAUUUAUUAAUUAAUUUUAUUAAAUUGGGGGUAUUAAAAAAUUGAAAUAAUUUUUUUAUAAUAUUAUUAUAUUAAUAAAUGAAAUUUUAAGAGUGUUUUAAUUAAAAUUAAUAGAAUAAGUUACCUUAGGGAUAACAGCAUAAUUUUUUUAGAUAGAUCAUAUUGAUAAAAAAGAUUAUGACCUCGAUGUUGAAUUAAGAUAAAUUAUAAAAGUAGAAUUUUGUUAAUUAAGUCUGUUCGACUUUUAAAAUCUUACAUGAUUUGAGUUAAAAUCGGUGUGAGCCAGAUUGGAUUUUAUCUUUAAUAAUAUUUUAAAUAUUUGUACGAAAGGACUUUAUUUAAUAAAAAAAAAUUAAUAUUUAUUGAAUUAAAUUAAUAUUUAAAUAAUAUAAUUUUUGAUUGUUUUUAACAUUAA
rnacentral:rRNA from 1 species